rnacentral:rRNA from 1 species
UACGUAGGUGUCAAGCGUUGUCCGGAUUUAUUGGGCGUAAAGCGUGCGCAGGCGGUCUGCUAAGAGAGGUGUGAAAUCCCCGGGCUUAACCUGGGAACUGCGCUUCUAACUGGCAGGCUAGAGUGUGGCAGAGGGGGGUGGAAUUCCACGUGUAGCAGUGAAAUGCGUAGAGAUGUGGAGGAACACCGAUGGCGAAGGCAGCCCCCUGGGCUAACACUGACGCUCAUGCACGAAAGCGUGGGGAGCAAACAGG